rnacentral:rRNA from 1 species
CAGUAGCCGCGGGAAUACGAAGGGUGCAAGCGUUAAUCGGAAUUACUGGGCGUAAAGCGCGCGUAGGUGGUUCAUUAAGUUGGAUGUGAAAGCCCUGGGCUCAACCUGGGAACUGCAUCCAAAACUGGUGAGCUAGAGUACGGUAGAGGGUAGUGGAAUUUCCUGUGUAGCGGUGAAAUGCGUAGAUAUAGGAAGGAACACCAGUGGCGAAGGCGACUACCUGGACUGAUACUGACACUGAGGUGCGAAAGCGUGGGGAGCAAACAGGAUUAGAUACCCCCGUAGUUCCUGUCUCUUAUAC